UACAGAGGGUGCAAGCGUUAAUCGGAAUUACUGGGCGUAAAGCGUGCGUAGACGGUUAUGUAAGUCAGAUGUGAAAGCCCCGGGCUUAACCUGGGAAUGGCAUUUGAGACUGCAUAGCUAGGGUGCGGAAGAGGGAAGCGGAAUUUCCGGUCGUGAGCGGUGAAAUGCGUAGAUAUCGGAAGGAACACCAGUGGCGAAAGCGGCUUCCUGGUCCAGCACCGACGUUCAGGCACGAAAGCGUAGGGGAGCAAAGCAGGG
rnacentral:rRNA from 1 species